rnacentral:rRNA from 1 species
UACGUAGGGUGCGAGCGUUUGUCCGGAAUUAUUGGGCGUAAAGGGCUCGUAGGCGGUUUGUUGCGUCGGGAGUGAAAACACUGGGCUUAACCGAGUGCUUGCUUUCGAUACGGGCAGACUUGAGGCAUUGAGGGGGAGAACGGAAUUCCUGGUGUAGCGGUGAAAUGCGCAGAUAUCAGGAGGAACACCGGUGGCGAAGGCGGUUCUCUGGGCCUGUACUGACGCUGAGGAGCGAAAGCGUGGGGGAGCGAACAGG